UGGGGAAUUUUGGACAAUGGGCGAAAGCCUGAUCCAGCAAUGCCGCGUGUGUGAAGAAGGCCUUCGGGUUGUAAAGCACUUUUGUCCGGAAAGAAAUCCUUGGCUCUAAUACAGUCGGGGGAUGACGGUACCGGAAGAAUAAGCACCGGCUAACUACGUGCCAGCAGCCGCGGUAAUACGUAGGGUGCAAGCGUUAAUCGGAAUUACUGGGCGUAAAGCGUGCGCAGGCGGUUUGCUAAGACCGAUGUGAAAUCCCCGGGCUCAGCCUGGGAACUGCAUUGGUGACUGGCAGGCUAGAGUAUGGCAGAGGGGGGUAGAAUUCCACGUGUAGCAGUGAAAUGCGUAGAGAUGUGGAGGAAUACCGAUGGCGAAGGCAGCCCCCUGGGCCAAUACUGACGCUCAUGCACGAAAGCGUGGGGAGCAAACAGGAUUAGAUACCCUGGUAGUCCACGCCCUAAACGAUGUCAACUAGUUGUUGGGGAUUCAUUUCCUUAGUAACGUAGCUAACGCGUGAAGUUGACCGCCUGGGGAGUACGGUCGCAAGAUUAAAACUCAAUGAAUUGACGGGGUCAUAGCUGUUUCC
rnacentral:rRNA from 1 species